UGAGGUGUUUGCACGUGUUCGACUAGAAUUGUGGCGGAGAGUCAUGCUCAGCACGUAGCGGUGGCGCAAUACGGUACUCACUGCUCAGUGGUAAUAACAACAACAACAACAAGAGUAACAACUGAAACGCAUUGCCACCCCUUGAGGCUGGAUCAACCACUAGCGGGCAAUGUUGUUGUUCAUGGUGGUGAUGGUGCAUCGCAUACUAUAGUGAUAACAACAACAAGAUAUUAGGUGACAAACAAACAACCCUUGAGUUCAAAUCGAGUUUUUGUUGUUUUUAUUGUGCAUUUUCUAACAAACGAACGCUGUGUGGCGCAUCGUGAAUUUUCGAAAACGCGUUGAAAACUACGUCUUUGCGAUUCUUAAAUUCGCCAGCGAGACACAGUGCUACAGUGCGCUGGGGUAGGCCAAGAAGCAGUUUGUAAGACCAAAUGCACUCUUGAUAUCUAUAACUACAAUGAAAAAUUGUUCAAAAUCGCAAAUAUCUUAGGAAAUAUUGAAGAAUAUAAUUUAGAAAAGAGCCAAAAUUCGAGUUGCGAAUCAAGAUUGGCGAACUAGCGAGAAUAGUAAAAACUAGCGAAUUUACUACAACAAAAAUACAACAACUUUGCGAAGUACGCUUGUGGCGUGUUAAGUGUCGAGAUUAAAGCGGCAAUAAAAA